UACGGAGGAUGCAUGCGUUAUCCGGAUUUAUUGGGUUUAAAGGGUGCGCAGGUUGUUUGAUAAGUCAGUGGUGAAAGUCUGUCGCUUAACGGUAGGAUUGCCAUUGAUACUGUUAGACUUGAAUAUGGAUGAGGUAGGCGGAAUGUGUAGUGUAGCGGUGAAAUGCAUAGAUAUUACACAGAACACCGAUUGCGAAGGCAGCUUACUAAUCCAUCAUUGACGCUGAGGCACGAAAGCGUGGGGAUCAAA
rnacentral:rRNA from 1 species